GAAUCUUCCACAAUGGACGAAAGUCUGAUGGAGCAAUGCCGCGUGCGCGAAGACGGUUUUCGGAUCGUAAAGCCCUGUUGUAAGGGAAGAACACGUACGGGAGUAACUGCCCGUACCUUGACGGUACCUUACUCGAACGCCACCGCUAACUACGUGCCAGCAGCCGCCGUAAUACGUAGGGGGCAAGCGUUGUCCGGAAUUAUUGGGCGUAAAGCGCGCGCAGGCGGUCCUUUAAGUCUGAUGUGCAAUCCCACGGCUCAACCGUGGAAGGUCAUUGGAAACUGGGGGACUUGAGUACAGAAGAGGAAAGCGGAAUUCCAAGUGUAGCGGUGAAAUGCGUAGAGAGUUGGAGGAACACCAGUGGCGAAGGCGGCUUUCUGGUCUGUAACUGACGCUGAGGCGCGAAAGCGUGGGGAGCAAACAG
rnacentral:rRNA from 1 species